CCUUUCCUUUCUCUCUCUUUUCUUUCCUCCCUUCCUUUCUUUCUUGUGAAUGGGGGGAAAAAAGUAAAACCAAGGGGUAGGAAGUCAUGGAGACAUGUGAUAGGGCACUAAAUUAUAGUUAGAUAAGAGAAGCUAGUGCCGGUGUUAACUGCAGUAGGGCUAUUGUAGAUAAUAACGUGCUUAUGUUUCAAAAAACAAGAAGACGCAAUGUCUGAGACCCUGGGCUUUGUCCUAUCUAUGAUAAUUUCUCAGUCUUAUUUUUUCAUGAUCCUGGCAUUUCUUUUGUUUGUUUUUUUGAGAAAAGGCCUCACUCUGCAGAUCAGGUUAACUUUGAACUCAUGGCUAUCUGUCUGGUUUAGCUUCCCAAGGUUGGGAUUACAAGUUACUAACCCCCAGUCCCAGCAACCUUGGCCCUAUGAAGAGCACUGUUUAGGUAUUUUUGUAGAAUGUUCCAUGAGGCCUUAUCUCAUGUUUCUCUAAAUCAGACUGUGGUUAUUGGUUUGAAGAAAGAAGGUCACAGGAUGACGUACCCCUCUCCUUGAGUCAUGUUGUUGAUACAUGAUAGCAGUGUCCCUUGUGGCCAGGAUGUUAACCUUAGUCACGUGGUCCCAAGGUCAUGUCUGCUGCCAGGUUUCUUUACUGUAAAGUUACUCUUCUUUUCCUUCCUUGAGAAUUGAGCCUCUGAGUCCAGUCUUCAUUCAAGGGUAAGAGAAUUGAGUUCUGCUUCCCAGGAGAGGGGCAUCAAAGUGGGGACAGCUAUUAAAUCCACUGCAGCAAUUAGGGGCUCCAAGAAGACACUUUGAGGCUGUAUUCUGUGUCUCUGUAACCAUUUCAUUCUCUUUUUGAGUAUUGGUCAGUGGAUCUUGCCUACAGCAAAUCUUCAAGAAAAAGAGAACACUUUUCAACUUGAAACACCACAUUACCCAUUGUUUGAGGAAGCAUGCAAUGUCAAUAAGCUAUUAUGAAACCAGCCUUUGUAUUGUAUUAACCACAAUCAAAUCUACACGCUCUAGAUGAACUUAAAAUGUAUUCAGAACUGGGACCCACCGCUGUGACCAUGUUCAGUCUGAAUGAGUGAAAUCUUGCCUCUUUGCUAAAUAGUUCUCACUCCUGCCCUGCUCAGAGAAGCCCAUGCCACCCUCAGGCUUUGCAACCCUCUUCUUAUCUCCACACAACAGAAACAAAACAGUUAAAAAAAAAAAGAAGAAAGAAAAAGAAAAUGCUUCAGACCUUUCAUUUGUGACUACAUUACCAUCUAACUAUAAGGCCCCAUGUUGCUCAGGUUUGUCUUCAGUUCGUUUGCAGCUAAGGAUGACCUUCAACUCCUGGAGAUCCUCCAAACAUCACAGGCCUUCACCACCACACUUGGUUACCUAUGACAGUGCUUCACUGUGUAGCCCAGGCUGACCUGGCAUUGAGACAUCCCUGCCUCCAUCUUAGUGCAGGACCGCAGCCUGUUUAACAUGUCCUAAAGGUCUGAAGGUAGGAAGCUUCAUGCAAAAAUAAAUCAGGCUUACUUGUUAACAAAUAAUGUGAGUGAGUUAAGACUGGGAUAUAGCUCAGCUGAUAGAGCACUUGCCUCGGAUCCACGAAGCCCUGGGUUCGAUCCCUACCAUGGUGUAAAAUAGAUGUGGUGCUGCAAAAUUUAUGAUGUCAGCACUGGGGGUGUAAAGGCUGUAGGAUUAGAAGCUCAAGGUCAUUCUUGGCUGCAAAGAAAGUUCAAGACUAGCCUGGGAUACAUGAGGAAAUAAACAGGCAAAUAAAAGUUGCUGUGGAAUACCCCCAUGUACACUGAUUGGCUGAUAGCCAGUCAAAAAGUAUAGGCAGGGCGAUCAAACUGAGGAUGCUGGGAGGAAGGAGGGCGGAGUCAGAGGAGUCUCCAGCUAGCCACUGAGAAAGCAGGACAUUUAGAAAAUGAGCUAAUUGGGAGCAUGAGGGUAGGGAAGAGGGAGCUGGCAGAAUUAGAGGAGGAGAAGAGGAGGGG
rnacentral:lncRNA from 1 species